rnacentral:lncRNA from 1 species
UGACUAUUACCACAGAAGGACCUUCUCAUAUCACUUGCAUCUGCCCCUAUAGGCCUUGCCGACAACCGACGGGCACAGAGGAAGGGCUGCGCAAGCGGUGCGCCCGGCACCGUCGACCACGCUUUGCCGCGGCCAUCCCCGCCCGGCACGGCCCGGCCCGGCCCGGCAGGAGCCCAGUGGGAGGCAGCCUGGGGUCUGCAACCGAUGGAGGGGCAUUAGUGUUGCUUCCAGCCAUCUCUUCACCUUCUGGUGUACUUGCCACUCCUCCCUUAUGCACCACGAGCCUUAUGCUUCAGAUACCUCUCCGCAUGCUGACAAACUCUGCAAUCCACCUGCACCUUGCAGCCUUGCAGCCAGCUGGAGCAGGAAUAAAUCUCAUCCCAUUUUAGUGAGGGACUCUUCAAAUAGGAAACAGGGGGCUCUGGAAGGAGCAAGACGUUCAAUGACCUUUUUUCCCUCCCACGUUCUGUAUUUCUACCAAAAGGUUUGAAAAAGGAGAGGACAUGGCAGGUAGAGGGUCUGCUGAAGAUAAGCUCUGAUGGCAGCCAAUCUAAAGGGGAAGAGACAGACAAAAUCAGUGAUGAAGAGGUAACGGCCUCAGCGCUUAAGCAAAGCUUUUAAUGGUCCCACAAGACCUGCAGACUGCCUGGUCCAAUGACUAAGGGCUAAGAGCCAAGCCUUCAACAUGGAGAUCCUGGAUCUGUGGCACACCAGGCUACAUCAACUCUGACGAGGUCAUCUGGAUCACAUGAAUGCUUCAAGUCAAGCAACUGAAAAAAAUUUAUUAUGUUUUUCUUUCUCUUUUUUUUUUCCCCCUUUUUUGUUCUUCAUGUGAAUCCCCAGUGGAAGAAAUCCACCGAACAAGCAUGUUGAUUUUGGCAAAGGCACACACAGUCACUCUGUUCUAAAGAUGAGCUGACACGUGCAGAUUCACAGAUUAGCCAUUUCUAAAGGUUAAUUAAAUAUUGCCAUUGUUUUC